GCGGCGUGCUUAACACAUGCAAGUCAAACGGACCUCGUGAAAUUGAAGCUUCGGCCGAUUUUCACAUUCAGGUUAGUGGCGAACGGGUGAGUAACGCGUAAGCAACAUGCCUUGGAGAUGGGGAUAACCAACCGAAAGGGGGGCUAAUACCCAAUACGCUAAUGAAUCUUAUGUUUUAUUAGGAAAUCACUUAGAUUGGCUCUAAGAGUGGCUUGCGUCUGAUUAGCUUGUUGGUGGGGUAAUGGCCUACCAAGGCGACGAUCAGUAACUGGUCUGAGAGGAUGAUCAGUCACACUGGGAUUGAGAUACGGCCCAGACUCCUACGGGAGGCAGCAGUGGGGAAUAUUGGACAAUGGGCGAAAGCCUGAUCCAGCGACGCCGCGUGGAGGAAGACAUCCCUCGGGAUGUAAACUCCUUUCAGCAGGAAAGAUAAUGACGGUACCUGCAGAAGAAGUCCCGGCUAACUACGUGCCAGCAGCCGCGGUAUACGUAGGGGACAAGUGUUGUCCGGAUUUACUGGGCGUAAAGCGCGUGUAGGUGGUGAUUUAAGUCAGGUGUUAAAUGCAGGGGCUUAACCCUUGUCCGCGCCUGAUACUGAAUUGCUCGAGGAUAGGAGAGGAGAGUGGAACUCACGGUGUAGCGGUGAAAUGCGUAGAUAUCGUGAGGAACACCUAUGGCGAAGGCAGCUCUCUGGACUAUUCCUGACACUGAGACGCGAAAGCGUGGGGAGCGAACGGGAUUAGAUACCCCGGUAGUCCACGCCGUAAACGAUGCUCACUAGGUAUGGGUGGUACCAACCCCUUCCGUGCCGAAGCUAACGCGUUAAGUGAGCCGCCUGGGGAGUACGGUCGCAAGAUUAAAACUCAAAGGAAUUGACGGGGGCCCGCACAAGCAGUGGAGCAUGUGGUUUAAUUCGACGAUACGCGAAGAACCUCACCUGGGUUUGAAAUCUCCAGAACCUGCCAGAGAUGGCGGGGUGCCUUUUGGAACUGGGAGUACAGGUGGUGCAUGGUUGUCGUCAGCUCGUGCCGUGAGGUGUUGGGUUAAGUCCCGCAACGAGCGCAACCCCCGUCCCAUGUUGCUAGUCCUUCGGGAAGCACUCACGGGAGACUGCCUCGGUUAACGAGGAGGAAGGUGGGGACGACGUCAAAUCAUCAUGCCCCUUAUGUCCAGGGCUACACACAUGCUACAAUGGCGUAAACAAAGGGUUGUGAAACCGCGAGGUGAAACCAAUCUCAUAAAUUACGUCUCAGUUCGGAUUGCAGUCUGCAACUCGACUGCAUGAAGUUGGAAUUGCUAGUAACCGCAGAUCAGCUACGCUGCGGUGAUACGUUCCCGGGCCUUGUACACACCGCCCGUCACAUCAUGAAAGUUGGGAUACCCGAAGUCGCUGUGCUAACCGCAAGGAAGCAGGCGCCGAA
rnacentral:rRNA from 1 species